AUGCCAAUGGACCUCUAUCUAUUCUCUAAUUCACCCGAUCCGAUAGUACCCAUUUUUGGAACGUCCAGUGCCAAAGUCACAGAAUGGGUAAGUCACCAAUCCAAUCCCUUUGACAAAUCGGAUGUAAUAUUAGAUAUCAUAUUCUAUAUAUAUAGAAAUAUCAUAGGUAGAAUAGACAUAUAG
rnacentral:rRNA from 1 species